rnacentral:rRNA from 1 species
CAGUAGCCGCGGUGAAUACGUAGGUGGCGAGCGUUGUCCGGAAUUAUUGGGCGUAAAGGGAGCGCAGGCGGACAUAUAAGUCCAUCUUAAAAGUGCGGGGCUCAACCCCGUGAGGGGAUGGAAACUGUAUGCCUUGAGUGCAGGAGAGGAAAGCGGAAUUCCCAGUGUAGCGGUGAAAUGCGUAGAUAUUGGGAGGAACACCAGUGGCGAAGGCGGCUUUCUGGACUGUAACUGACGCUGAGGCUCGAAAGCCAGGGGAGCGAACGGGAUUAGAUACCCCCGUAGUCCCUGUCUCUUAUAC